UCACACACAUUCAAAUCGCAGUUUCUUCUCUCUCUCUUUCUAACUCACACACAUCCAAACCUCUUCAUCUUCUUCUUUCUCUUUCUCAGUCGCACGCAACAUCAUGGUUUCCAGAUAAUCUUCAUCUUCUUUUCACUCACAGAUAACACCAUGGCGAAGAGUUGAUCUUCUUCUCAAGCAAAGAGUGAAUGUUUUCAGAUCUACUUUUGUUUUGGUUGAUUUUUUCCUCUAAUAUUCUUGAGCACCUUCACGAGACUUAAAAAAAGAUCUACCUUUAUUUUGGUUGAUGUUUUGCUCUGAGAACCUUGAGCAACUUGACGAAUACAAAAAAGAUUUUCUUUUACAUGUAUUAUGUUCGAUGGAUUUUUUCUUCUCAGAUCUACCUUUAUUUUGGUUGAUAUUUUGCUUUGAGAACCUUGAGCAACUUGACGAAUACAAAAAAAAUCUACUUAUUUUUGUUCGGUGAAUCAAAUAUUUGGAAAACACAAUAAAGGUUGAAUCUUUGAACCUUUCACUCUUUGACUACAACAAUAAAGGUGGAUCAAAUCAAAUAUUUGAAGAACAUAGUAAAGGUUGAAUCUUUCAACCUUUCACUCUUUGACGACAACAAUAAAAGAUUUAAGUACUUCUGCAUGUCUUUUUUUGCUGUGAUGAAUGAAGUUUUUAUUCGAGAUCGAUGACAUGUUUGAAGAAGACAACAUAGAUCAAUGAAUUGCUCGAAGAAGACAACAAAGGUACAAUUUUUUCGUCUUCCAUACAAAGGUAGGAUCUUUGAAGAACACCAGAAAGAUGAAUGAUUUGUUUGAAGAAUACAGGUUGGUUUUUUCGCAAUAAAAAAGACUUAGUGAGGUAUUUUCGCAACAGUGGACUUUCAACUAUUGUGUUCCAUGGACCACUAGACCAAGUCCAAUGCAAUUUUGUGAUAACAACAACGUCUGUGAAGAUAGGUCGCGGCUAGAUAAAGUUUUGUGCCUUUCACUCACUAAAGGAGAAUGUUUAUGUAUUUUCGAAGUUGAGAGUGAAAAAACAAACAUGCAUGUAAAAGUUUUUUAUAAUCUACCAU